GAUGAACGCUGGCGGCGUGCCUAAUACAUGCAAGUAGAACGCUGAAGCUUGGUGCUUGCACCGAGUGGAAGAGUUGCGAACGGGUGAGUAACGCGUAGGUAACCUGCCUCUUAGCGGGGGAUAACUAUUGGAAACGAUAGCUAAUACCGCAUAAAAGUCGAUAUCGCAUGAUAUUGAUUUGAAAGGUGCAAAUGCAUCACUAAGAGAUGGACCUGCGUUGUAUUAGCUAGUUGGUGAGGUAACGGCUCACCAAGGCGACGAUACAUAGCCGACCUGAGAGGGUGAUCGGCCACACUGGGACUGAGACACGGCCCAGACUCCUACGGGAGGCAGCAGUAGGGAAUCUUCGGCAAUGGACGGAAGUCUGACCGAGCAACGCCGCGUGAGUGAAGAAGGUUUUCGGAUCGUAAAGCUCUGUUGUAAGAGAAGAACGAGUGUGAGAGUGGAAAGUUCACACUGUGACGGUAACUACCAGAAAGGGACG
rnacentral:rRNA from 1 species